rnacentral:rRNA from 1 species
GAUCAUGGCUCAGGAUGAACGCUGACAGAAUGCUUAACACAUGCAAGUCGAUGGGGAAGUGGUGCUUGCACCAUGGUAACCAUGGCGGACGGGUGAGUAACGCGUAAGGAACUUACCUGCGGGACCGGGAUAACAGCAGGAAACUGCUGACAAGACCGGAUAAGGUCAUGAAGCUGCAUAGCUUUGUGAUGAAAGGAGACGCCUGCGGAGAGCCUUGCGUCCUAUUAG